rnacentral:rRNA from 1 species
AUAGAAUCAGCCCUGUACUGGGGAAUAGCCCAGAGAAAUUUGGAUUAAUGCCCCAUGGUAUGUAUUAGCGGCAUCGCUUAUACAUUAAAGGCUACGGUACAGGAUGACUAUGCGUCCCAUUAGUUAGUUGGUAAGGUAACGGCUUACCAAGGCAGCGAUGGGUAGGGGCCCUGAGAGGGGGAUCCCCCACACUGGUACUGAGACACGGACCAGACUCCUACGGGAGGCAGCAGUGAGGAAUAUUGGACAAUGGGCGGGAGCCUGAUCCAGCCAUGCCGCGUGCAGGAAGACGGUCCUAUGGAUUGUAAACUGCUUUUGUACGGGAAGAACAAGGGGCACGUGUGCCCCUCUGACGGUACCGUAAGAAUAAGGAUCGGCUAACUCCGUGCCAGCAGCCGCGGUAAUACGGAGGAUCCGAGCGUUAUCCGGAAUCAUUGGGUUUAAAGGGUCCGUAGGCGGGCCAUUAAGUCAGGGGUGAAAGUCUGCGGCUCAACCGUAGAAUUGCCCUUGAUACUGGUGGUCUUGAGUUAUGGUGAAGUAACUAGAAUAUGUAGUGUAGCGGUGAAAUGCAUAGAUAUUACAUAGAAUACCGAUUGCGAAGGCAGGUUACUAACCAUAUACUGACGCUGAUGGACGAAAGCGUGGGGAGCGAACAGGAUUAGAUACCCUGGUAGUCCACGCCGUAAACGAUGGAUACUAGCUGUCCGGAUGCAAAUCUGGGCGGCCAAGCGAAAGUGAUAAGUAUCCCACCUGGGGAGUACGUCCGCAAGGAUGAAACUC